rnacentral:rRNA from 1 species
UAAUACAUGCAAGUUGAACGGUAACAGAUCCAGCAAUGGAUGCUGACGAGUGGCGCACGGGUGCGUAACGCGUAUGCAACCUACCUUUAACUGAGGAAUAGCUCCGAGAAAUCGGGAUUAAUCCCUCAUAAUAUUUUUGAAAGGCAUCUUUUAAAAAUUAAAGUUUCGACGGUUAUUGAUGGGCAUGCGUGGCAUUAGUUUGUUGGUGAGGUAACGGCUCACCAAGACAUCGAUGCCUAGGGGGCCUGAGAGGGUGAUCCCCCACACUGGUACUGAGACACGGACCAGACUCCUACGGGAGGCAGCAGUAAGGAAUAUUGGGCAAUGGACGAAAGUCUGACCCAGCCAUGCCGCGUGCAGGAUGACGGCCCUAGUGGUUGUAAACUGCUUUUAUACGGGAAGAAAAGUUCCAACGUGUUGGAAUGUGACUGUACCGUAUGAAUAAGCAUCGGCUAACUCCGUGCCAGCAGCCGCGGUAAUACGGAGGAUGCAAGCGUUAUCCGGAUUCAUUGGGUUUAAAGGGUGCGUAGGCGGAUUGGUAAGUCAGUGGUGAAAUCCUCUCGCUUAACGGGAGAAUUGCCGUUGAUACUAUCAAUCUUGAGUACACUUGAAGCGGGCGGAAUGUGUCAUGUAGCGGUGAAAUGCAUAGAUAUGACACAGAACACCGAUUGCGAAGGCAGCUCACUAAAUUGUAACUGACGCUGAGGCACGAAAGCGUGGGGAGCAAACAGGAUUAGAUACCCUGGUAGUCCACGCUGUAAACGAUGAUCACUAGCUGUUGGCGAUACACUGUCAGCGGCUGAGCGAAAGUAUUAAGUGAUCCACCUGGGGGAGUACGAUCGCAAAGGUUGAAAAACCUCCAAAGGAAUUGACGGGGGCCCCCCGCCCACCAAGCGGAGGAGCAUGUUGGGUUUAAAUUGAGAUACGCGAGGAACCCUUCACCUAGGCUUAAGCUUUGACGUCUGGAACCAGAUUCCUUGGGGCAAAUUGCAAGGUGUGCAUGGUUUCGUCAGCUGUCCGUGAGUGUCGGGUUAAGUCCCAUACGAGCGCACCC